GACGGAGGAUGCAAGUGUUAUCCGGAAUCACUGGGCGUAAAGCGUCUGUAGGUGGUUUAAUAAGUCAACUGUUAAAUCUUGAGGCUCAACCUCAAAAUCGCAGUCGAAACUAUUAGGCUAGAGUAUAGUAGGGGUAAAGGGAAUUUCCAGUGGAGCGGUGAAAUGCGUAGAGAUUGGAAAGAACACCGAUGGCGAAGGCACUUUACUGGGCUAUUACUAACACUCAGAGACGAAAUCUAGGGUAGCAAAUGGG
rnacentral:rRNA from 1 species